GGAAUUUGGCUCAGUGGUAGAGCACUUGCCUAGCAAGCACAAGGCCCUGGGUUCGGUCCCCAGCUCCG
rnacentral:tRNA from 1 species